GUGCUCGCUUGGGCAGCACAUAUACUGAAAGUGGAACGAUACAGAGACGAUUAGCAUGGCCCCUGGGCAAGGAUGACACGCAAGUUCAUGAAGCGUUCCGUAUUUAA
ensembl:snRNA U6 U6 spliceosomal RNA